rnacentral:rRNA from 1 species
CCUACGGGCGGCAGCAGUGGGGAAUAUUGGUCAAUGGGCGAAAGCCUGAUCCAGCCAUGCCGCGUGUGUGAAGAAGGCCUUCGGGUUGUAAAGCACUUUCAGUGGGGAAGAAAGCCUUGGGGCUAAUACCCUCGAGGAAGGACAUCACCCACAGAAGAAGCACCGGCUAACUCCGUGCCAGCAGCCGCGGUAAUACGGAGGGUGCGAGCGUUAAUCGGAAUUACUGGGCGUAAAGCGCGCGUAGGCGGUCUGAUAAGCCGGUUGUGAAAGCCCCGGGCUCAACCUGGGAACGGCAUCCGGAACUGUCAGGCUAGAGUGCAGGAGAGGAAGGUAGAAUUCCCGGUGUAGCGGUGAAAUGCGUAGAGAUCGGGAGGAAUACCAGUGGCGAAGGCGGUCUUCUGGACUGACACUGACGCUGAGGUGCGAAAGCGUGGGUAGCAAACAGGAUUAGAUACCCCAGUAGUC